UGGGGAAUAUUGGGCAAUGGGGGAAACCCUGACCCAGCAACGCCGCGUGAAGGAAGAAGGCCUUCGGGUUGUAAACUUCUUUUACCAGGGACGAAAAAAUAGACGUUACCCUCAGAAGAAGCACCGGCUAACUCCGUGCCAGCAGCCGCGGUAAUACGGAGGGUGCAAGCGUUAAUCGGAAUAACUGGGCGUAAAGGGCAUGCAGGCGGUUCAUCAAGUAGGAUGUGAAAUCCCCGGGCUCAACCUGGGGAACAGCAUACUAAACUGGUGGACUAGAGUAUUGCAGGGGGAGACGGAAUUCCAGGUGUAGCGGUGGAAUGCGUAGAUAUCUGGAAGAACACCAAAGGCGAAGGCAGUCUCCUGGGC
rnacentral:rRNA from 1 species